GAUGAACGCUGGCGGCGUGCCUAAUACAUGCAAGUCGAGCGAACGGACGAGAAGCUUGCUUUUCUGAUGUUAGCGGCGGACGGGUGAGUAACACGUGGAUAACCUACCUAUAAGACUGGGAUAACUUCGGGAAACCGGAGCUAAUACCGGAUAAUAUUUUGAACCGCAUGGUUCAAAAGUGAAAGACGGUCUUGCUGUCACUUAUAGAUGGAUCCGCGCUGCAUUAGCUAGUUGGUAAGGUAACGGCUUACCAAGGCAACGAUGCAUAGCCGACCUGAGAGGGGGAUCGGCCACCCUGGAACGGAGACGCGGCCCAGACUCCUACGGGAGGCAGCAGUAGGGAAUCUUCCGCAAUGGGCGAAAGCCUGACGGAGCAACGCCGCGUGAUUGAUGAAGGUCUUCGGAUCGUAAAGCUCUGUUUUUAGGGAAGAACAUAUGUGUAAUUAACUGUGCACAUCUUGACGGUACCUAAUCAGAAAGCCACGGCUAACUACGUG
rnacentral:rRNA from 1 species